rnacentral:sRNA from 1 species
UGAGAUUGUUUAUAUGCUAGAUAUUUUUCUUAGCUUUGUGUAUUUGGAAUUUUUCUAAAUAUAUAUGCAUAUAUUAUCAUAUACACAUGCAUCUACAUAAGUGUGUGUGUGUGUGUGUGUGUGUGUGUGUGUUGCUGGGGAUCAAACCCAGGGCUUAA